rnacentral:rRNA from 1 species
GAUGAACGCUGGCGGCGUGCCUAAUACAUGCAAGUCGAGCGAACGGACGAGAAGCUUGCUUCUCUGAUGUUAGCGGCGGACGGGUGAGUAACACGUGGAUAACCUACCUAUAAGACUGGGAUAACUUCGGGAAACCGUAGCUAAUACCGGAUAAUAUUUUGAACCGCAUGGUUCAAAAGUGAAAGACGGUCUUGCUGUCACUUAUAGAUGGAUCCGCGCUGCAUUAGCUAGUUGGUAAGGUAACGGCUUACCAAGGCAACGAUGCAUAGCCGACCUGAGAGGGUGAUCGGCCACACUGGAACUGAGACACGGUCAAGACUACUACGGGAGGCAGCAGUAGGGAAUCUUCCGCAAUGGGCGAAAGCCUGACGGAGCAACGCCGCGUGAGUGAUGAAGGUCUUCGGAUCGUAAAACUCUGUUAUUAGGGAAGAACAUAUGUGUAAGUAAAUGUGCACAUCUUGACGGUACCUAAUCAGAAAGCCACGGCUAACUACGUG